UACGGUGGGGGCAAGCGUUGUUCGGAAUUACUGGGCGUAAAGGGUUCGUAGGUGGCCAACUAAGUCAGACGUGAAAUCCCUCAGCUUAACUGGGGAACUGCGUCUGAUACUGGUUGGCUUGAGUGCAGGAGAGGAACGCGGAAUUCCAGGUGUAGCGGUGAAAUGCGUAGAUAUCUGGAGGAACACCGGUGGCGAAGGCGGCGUUCUGGACUGCAACUGACACUGAUGAACGAAAGCCAGGGGAGCAAACGGG
rnacentral:rRNA from 1 species